ACCAGUAGCAGCCACCAAGCAACUACAAUACCUAUUAGCGCUGAAUUAGAUUCAAAUUGCAACUACCUUCCUUUUAGCGCCAAGUCCACUCAAAUCAGCAUUUCUUAACUCUGUCCUUGAAUCAGGUAGGUGUACAAGGUUAUAUAAACUCAAUUCCACUAUAACAGAUGUAUUCUACUAUGACAACACUCGCACAGAAAGAUAUAAAUCCUUAUCAAAGAAAUGGCUUGUUCCGGCGAACUCUGUUAGUUCAGAUACAUUUAACAGAUUUUCUUUUCUCUCUCUUGUGCGCCUAUAAGAUAUAAUGUGAAAUGGGUAUUUUCAGUAUCUAAUAUUUUCUCCUCUUGCACAUGGAGCAUAGAAAGAAUGAUGUAAAGACACACAAGAUAAGCAACUUAGGGGCUCGCUUAAAGGAGCUUAGCUUCAUAAGUCAAGUCCAAUAAGUCUGUCACUUAAUAUUGAGAGUCGACAAUAACUUGAACAUAAAUAGAUUCUAGGACAGAAGCGUUUGCUGCUUCAUUCGAUCCUACAAAUUAUUCUGUAGUAAGGUAACUUUUAGAAACAAACUGAACUUCAACUUGCUUCUUCUGCUUACUUUAUAACUCCCGAAACAGGACUUGCGCUUAACUCGUAAUAACGCCUUAUGUGAGGUUCGCGUUCCUUUCUAUUCUUGCUUUUGUAUACGUUGCUUGUUGGUUCGUUGUUGGCGACGGGUCUCCUUCAGUUCUUGAAAAAGGAAUGGACGAUACUUUCAUAAAACGACUUACUUAUAUACGGGGUCUAUUUCUGUUCGUUCGACUUUAAUCAUAUGACUCGAAUUGCCAGGAAUGCAGUGCAGGGUCAAAAGGGAAUAAUAUCCGGCUUGCUUUGAAGCGCUAAGUAGUAAAGAAUCUCUUUGUGUACCGUCCCAGUGUUGUAAGGAAAGUCAGAGAGAUCAGAGGCAUAAACAAGAUAUGUGGAAGAAGUAGGGACAAGCUACUACUCAAAAGGCAAAGAAGGCAAAAACUGGAAUGGCUCUAAUAACUGCUUCGUUAGCCGAUGAAGACAGUACUUGCUCAACACCGAGAUAUAGUCAACACCGAUAAAGAAAAGAAGCUCCAUAUUAAUAGCCCUCCAGUUCUGCCGUACUCUAAAUUCUUCCCCUUUCCAACCUUUGCUUUGCUUUCCGAGUCUUUGCUUUGCAUGCUUGGCUUGACCUUGUAGUGGUCCAAAGAAUUGAGUUAGAGUGGAAG
rnacentral:lncRNA from 1 species